rnacentral:rRNA from 1 species
AGUGAACGCUGGCGGUAGGCCUAACACAUGCAAGUCGAACGGCAGCACAGUAAGAGCUUGCUCUUACGGGUGGCGAGUGGCGGACGGGUGAGGAAUACAUCGGAAUCUACUUUUUCGUGGGGGGUAACGUAGGGAAACUUACGCUAAUACCGCAUACGACCUACGGGUGAAAGCAGGGGAUCUUCGGACCUUGCGCGAUUGAAUGAGCCGAUGUCGGAUUAGCUAGUUGGCGGGGUAAAGGCCCACCAAGGCGACGAUCCGUAGCUGGUCUGAGAGGAUGAUCAGCCACGCUGGAACUGAGACACGGUCCAGACUCCUACGGGAGGCAGCAGUGGGGAAUAUUGGACAAUGGGCGCAAGCCUGAUCCAGCCAUACCGCGUGGGUGAAGAAGGCCUUCGGGUUGUAAAGCCCUUUUGUUGGGAAAGAAAAGCAGCAGGUUAAUACCCCGCUGUUCUGACGGUACCCAAAGAAUAAGCACCGGCUAACUUCGUG